AAACUGGAAAGCUGCUUCAUCAGUGCCAAUCCAUACUGUGGUUGGUCUCAUGAAAAGGAUCAUACUGAUGAAUUAGUGCAUCUACCCUCCCAGCCAUGGAAGAAUACCUCAUACAAAAAAAUCCAUAGGUGACUAAUAGGUGUGGACUCCAGAUUAAUCCUGUGGGGAGAGAAAAGUGCCUGUGGAGCUUGGCAAAAGUUGCUUAUCCUUUCCUCCUGAAGAUAUGCAUUUGUUCCUGGGUAGUGUGGGAGGUGGCUCCUCCUUUCUGCAUCUGUAGCCACCAUGGAAACAGAGAAUUCCAGAAGACGCUCUAAUAAUGCAAUUGCAGACCCAAACGUCAUUACAGAGGUCUGAGACUCUCUCUCCUGACACUAAAUUGUACAUGCAUGUGCAAGCAGUGUCCCAAACCUGCUCAUAAAUGCCCCAAAUCAAGUUAGAUGGAGACUCCAAGGGAUGAGAACAAAAUGCCAAGGGCCAAGAAAGACAAAAAAGCACAGAGAGAUUCCAAGUUUAGAUCAUGGAAAGUGUGAAAUAACAUUGUCAGUGCCAGGCCAUGAACUAAAGAGGCAUUCUGUUGUUGAAUCACAUGUUGCAGGCCCCUGUAAAGGUGCAAUACAGAAAGUACUGAAGAUGCUGUCAAGGCAGGUGUGGAUGAGCAAACAGAGGAGGAUCGUGAGCAAAGAAAAAUUGCGAAGAAAAUUUUUGAAAGAGGAAGAGGUCAGAAGAGAUCCUGAUGGCACAAAAGCUGAUAGAGAAGAAAAGCAGUAUGACAGUAGAAUGAAGGCUAAAAGAAAGCACAGCCAUUGAUUUAAUUUGCUGUUUUUCAUUAGAAAUUUAUCCCUUUGCCGGUUCUGGAUGCCAAGCAUAUGUUUAAGAACAUAUAAGCUUUUCAGCUUACCAGGGUGAAAGUGCCUUCCAGAACUCUGGUGUCAAAGGCACCUACAAGACCUGAUAAAACAACCUUCAGUAUUAAAUCAAUGUUGGUGUUCAAUAACAUCCGGUGCCAGGCAGGGAGAUGCCAGCCCAGCUGGGUGAGUAUGUGCCAGGGCAUUUGGAUGGUAAUUGGCUGAUGAAUCCAACUCUUAAGCAAACAGAUACCUAGACAAAGAGCAGAGGGCCAAAUUCCACCAAGCACUGCCCUGCUAUCUCCCCUGUGUUGCAAACUCUGUGAGUCAGAGGCAGAAGAUAGUCCUGGGCAGUACCUGCAGGGAGAACUCUGACCCCCACUUCAGCAAACCUUGUGUUUCUGGGCCCUUUUCAAGUGUGUUUCCCAGGCAGGACUCUGCCCCGAUGUCUGUGAGGAGGUGAACCAAGGUCUGCUGCAGGAAUAAAGGGUUCAUUUGCUGAAAGGAGCAGAGAAUUAAUUGCUGUCUGCUAAAUGAAGUUUGUCAUCUGGGCUAUACCUGCACAUCUGGUCACCUUCCAUGGAGUGCCAUGGAAGAGAAGUACUGUACCAGAGAGGAGAGCACAUUUCAAAUGAUUCACAGGAUUUCUGAUGGCAAACAUAAAAAAAAAACGGGCAUUGUUUCACAGAUGCACAAAGUAAUAGAGAAAGGGAAGUGGAAACUUCAGCAAUGAUCCCCACAGAAACAACAGAACCUUCAGCAAGUUAUGUGGUAGAUUCAACUGCAGAUUGUGUUACCUAACCAGCAGUGUGAGGGAGCAGAGGAAACCCAAGCCCUAGUAACCAGUGCUCACUGUUUCCUAUUGCAGCCAACACACUUUAUCAACUUUUUGUAAGGAACCGAAUGUAACUAAAACCUCAAAGAUGUGUGCAGCAUGAGUGACUUUUCUUCAUCUUAUUGUGGGGAGAAAAAGGGACAAGAGCAUAAUUUCAGUUCCUCUGGGGCUUCAGCUCUAUUCUGAUGCUGUCGAAGUGAAAGACACCCAUUCCUGUCAGUUAUUCCAGUAGUCCCUGGACACAAAGCACAUUUAACAUCUACAUGUCUGCAGUAACACCUCCCAGCUUGUAGCCCAAGCCCUGCACACACACACUCCUGCAUUGGAUGUUUCAGUGAUC